rnacentral:piRNA from 1 species
AAUUGGGAGAGUGGAGAUACAGUAA